UGUCCAGGGGCGGGAAUCGAACCCACAACCUUCUGCUUACCGGGCAGGUGCCAUGUCCACUAGGCUACCCUAAU